rnacentral:rRNA from 1 species
UACGUAGGGUGCAAGCGUUAAUCGGAAUUACUGGGCGUAAAGCGUGCGCAGGCGGUUGUGCAAGACAGAUGUGAAAUCCCCGGGCUCAACCUGGGAACUGCAUUUGUGACUGCACGGCUAGAGUGUGUCAGAGGGGGGUAGAAUUCCACGUGUAGCAGUGAAAUGCGUAGAGAUGUGGAGGAACACCAAUGGCGAAGGCAGCCUUCUGGGCCAACACUGACGCUCAUGCACGAAAGCGUGGGGAGCAAACAGG